rnacentral:rRNA from 1 species
GACGAACGCUGGCGGCGUGCUUAACACAUGCAAGUCGAACGGAAAGGCCCUGCUUUUGUGGGGUGCUCGAGUGGCGAACGGGUGAGUAACACGUGAGUAACCUGCCCUUGACUUUGGGAUAACUUCAGGAAACUGGGGCUAAUACCGGAUAGGAGCUCCUGCUGCAUGGUGGGGGUUGGAAAGUUUCGGCGGUUGGGGAUGGACUCGCGGCUUAUCAGCUUGUUGGUGGGGUAGUGGCUUACCAAGGCUUUGACGGGUAGCCGGCCUGAGAGGGUGACCGGCCACCUUGGGACUGAGAUACGGCGCAGACUCCUACGGGAGGCAGCAGUGGGGAAUAUUGCACAAUGGGCGGAAGCCUGAUGCAGCAACGCCGCGUGCGGGAUGACGGCCUUCGGGUUGUAAACCGCUUUCGCCUGUGACGAAGCGUGAGUGACGGUAAUGGGUAAAGAAGCACCGGCUAACUACGUG